rnacentral:rRNA from 1 species
UGGGGAAUAUUGCACAAUGGGCGAAAGCCUGAUGCAGCAACGCCGCGUGAGUGAUGAAGGUCUUCGGAUUGUAAAGCUCUGUCUUUUGGGACGAUAAUGACGGUACCAAAGGAGGAAGCCACGGCUAACUACGUGCCAGCAGCCGCGGUAAUACGUAGGUGGCGAGCGUUGUCCGGAUUUACUGGGCGUAAAGGGUGCGUAGGCGGAUGUUUAAGUGAGAUGUGAAAUACCCGGGCUUAACUUGGGUGCUGCAUUUCAAACUGGAUAUCUAGAGUGCAGGAGAGGAGAAUGGAAUUCCUAGUNUAGCGGUGAAAUGCGUAGAGAUUAGGAAGAACACCAGUGGCGAAGGCGAUUCUCUGGACUGUAACUGACGCUGAGGCACGAAAGCGUGGGUAGCAAACAGGAUUAGAUACCCUGGUAGUCCACGCCGUAAACGAUGAGUACUAGGUGUAGGAGGUAUCGACCCCUUCUGUGCCGCAGUAAACACAUUAAGUACUCCGCC